UACGUAGGGUGCAAGCGUUAUCCGGAAUUAUUGGGCGUAAAGAGCUCGUAGGCGGUUUGUCGCGUCUGCUGUGAAAACCGGAGGCUCAACCUCCGGCCUGCAGUGGGUACGGGCAAACUAGAGUGCGGUAGGGGAGAUUGGAAUUCCUGGUGUAGCGGUGGAAUGCGCAGAUAUCAGGAGGAACACCGGUGGCGAAGGCGGUUCUCUGGGACGGUACUGACGCUGAGACGCGAAAGCGUGGGGAGCGAACAGG
rnacentral:rRNA from 1 species